CAGCAUCCAGCAAGGACACUUCUUCACAAGGCAACAGUUGAGGACCGAUACUUGCUUAAGCCAGCGUGAAGCAUUGUCCUAGAUUGACACGAAAUACGUAUGGAAAGGCAGAGCCUUUAUCCUCUGUGGGAUGAAUUCAGACCAGGUUCCUAUCUGCUUUGGCUACUGUCAAGUGAAUCCUUCUGAUGCCGGGCUGGAGAAGAUGCCACUGAAAGGGAAGACAGAGCCUUCGAUAGAUUUCUAAUAAAGAUCAGGGGAUGUUAAUGAACCCCACGGGUCCUGCAAGAGAGAGCCACCCUGCUAGGAUUGCAUGACUUCUGACCUGCCUUCUAUGGGAUGCUCACACCAGCACCAGAGAAAUGCAAAGACCGGUAGAAAGCAAGUGAAAAGGAUCUACAUCUAUGUCCUGUGCGGUUCUCCAGCCACAGCAAGAGGUACAUUGAAAGGAACACUUCCAGAAAAGGCCCGAGUACGUAAUUUGAACAUUAAUUAGCAUUAAUGUUCAGCAUCGUUCUGUUACCUGGCUGCAGCCCAGUGCAUGUUGACAUGUGCUGGUAGUGUGUAAGCGGUGACUCUUCAUAGGUGGGUUCAUGAUCUAGGAAUUUUCCACGUCCCAUCAGAACUACUACUAGAAUUUGAAGAACGGAUGAAGGAAACCCUGCUUAUUAUGUAAGAUGACAGCAGAAACAUGGUUUUGUUUACAUUUAAAGCAGUUCGGGUUUGGCUUAGGAAGAUAUGGGUUGGAGGAGAACCUACCCUUCAUAUUUUUAAAGUGUGAAUGAGCUGAAGAUACUGGAAGAUGUGUUCCCCUGGGAGCCAGGAGCUCCCAUUUUCACAUGAAAACCUUGGAGUGAGUUAUCACAAUCGGUGUUCCACAGUCCUUGAAAUCGGAAAUGAUACUGGUUCCCAGUAUGAGACUGGGAGAGCUGCUCUGAGGUGACGGCUGCAUUGUGUGACGCUAUCAGCUGCUGGGGUACAGGGUGUCUAUUUAAAUUCUACUUUGAUUGGCCUGUUGGAUUUGCAGAAUUAGGACAACCUCUUGGAAAAUAAUCAGCCUCGUGUGGAUGGCUUCAGAGCUUGGAGAACAAUCCAUGAAUAUAACAUUGUUUCUGCUGAUAGCACACGAAUACGCAAUGCUGCUUCCUUGGGUGUGUUCUUGGGACCAGAUGAGAGAAGCGCUCUGAUGAAGUGGGAUUUUGCCUGCCAUGAAUAUUUAUAGAAGAAGUCUUGGUGUCCUGAUAGUUCCUGGCACCAAAUUCUGGAAUGCAGAGCAGAAUCCUCACUAGUGGCCGGACUGCACUGCUUCCCUUACAGUGAUGCUAUAUGGGCAGCAGCUGAUGGGGCACAGCUGAACCUCCUCCUGGACCCCAUAAUUCAGCAGAGCUAUUGGCAGUGCAGUAUUGCUGACCAAAACAUGCAUUGACUGCAAUAUUCAGCGGUAGGAGAAUAUUCCUGUUGGUGUUGCUGGACUUUAGCACAGAUGUUUUCGACUUCAGAAUUCCUGGCGAGAUUGCUUCAUAUGAUGAUUCCAUUGUUCACACGUCUCAGAAAAGAAAAAAAUGUCCAUGUCUUGGAUAGUCAAAAGAUCAGACAAGUAUUUCACUCAAUGUACAACAAAAUAUUAUGAGGUGAUAGGCUGUGUUUGCCUCAGAGUACGUGAAGUGCCCCAGCCCAGUCCCCUGACUCCGCUAAGCCAAAUCCAUCACACGAUGGCAUCAACUGGAAGAAAGGAAACACAACUCCUGCAGGUGUGCCGUGGUCUUACAGAGACUGUUUUGAAGAUGAUCUGUGAAAAAAAUCAACAGGCAAGCAAGCAAUGACCGAAGAGUGGAUGGGUCUGUUUUGAGAAUGGCAACACAUCUGCAAGAGAAAAUCUGAUCCAGAAGUAAUUACAGUAUAAUCAGAGAAAAGAAGCAGCAAAAUUCAUGUUUAAUCAAGCUGGAGCGGUGCCUGCCAAUUUCCAUGCGGCCUCCUGCAACCUUGUCCUUUUUGUGAACCCUUCUUCAUCCUCUUUGCUGGAAGCUCUCAUGGUCUGGCAUGUCAAUGCAUUUGCUGUGCUACUUCAGAGACUCCUGGAAGCACACGGUGUUCCAAGAGGAACAGUCGAAGGCUGGGCUAUAGGGAUAGAGACAAGUCAGUGUGAAUCUAGCUGGAGGAAUGAAGAACUGCCUCUGUCCUUGAGCACUGGGAAGGAUUUGAAAGAAAAAGAAAAGCUAAGCUAUUUACAGCAGCAGCAGCCAAGGCACAGCUGAAUUGUGACCUCCAUAACCCUGGAAAUCUCCAGACAGAUCCUUGGAGAUGUACCUUGGUAUAGGUUAUGCUCUGUAUAAACCUGUCCUGGGAGAGAGCCUGGCGUCUGUUGAGUGCUGAGCAGAGCCAGAGAGAGGACAGAAGACCAUCCUCCUGAGUUUUCUUCUUGUGUCUGCAAGUGCUUGGAUGAAUAAAAUCAGGAAGUUCAUCCCAAGCCAUCAUUCACUCAGGAGAAGAGUAGUCAAGCUACAGGCACAGCCUGGAUGGAAGAAAAAUGGAAGUACGCAAGAAGAGCCGUUCACCACCUGCUCACAAAAAGGAACAGUCUGUCAGACUUUUAUAUCCACUGGUACAUAAAUCACAGGCAGCUGCUGUUGGAGAGCUGUCUUUGAGCCUUCCUGGAUCCUCCAAAGGCUCUUGGAUUAAGAAAGUGAGUUGUGUUCAGGUUGUGUCUACCCAGACCUUAACUGCUACCUCAGCUGUUGUUGACUCCCCGAAAAAGGAACGAAGAUCAGGGACCUGUAAAUUAAUUUCUCAA